ACGGAGCGCAGCGGCGCGGGGCCGGGACGGCCGCCGUGAGGCGAGGCGAGGGGGCCGGGCCGCCUGCCCCGUCCCUAGCGCCAUGAGGGCUUCCAGCUGAUAUGCAGCUUAAGCGUGUGUGAAGGGAUGGCUGUAAAUCAGAGGUCUCGGGUGGCAAGAGAGCUGUCUGGAAGAUACAGCCGUCAGGCAAAUGGUUUGCAUGUUUCGCUGCAGGUGGGGGCUCGCUGGAGCAGCAGUGGUUGUGAGAAGAAAAGAAAUAAGCUGUUGGCGCUGCUUUGAAGAUGCUCAUUUGAAAGAGAUUGAGAAGAUGGAAAUGUAGAGUCCACAACUUAAAUGGGACUCCUGGAGAAGUAC